rnacentral:tRNA from 1 species
GCGCGCGUAGCAAAGUUGGUAAUGCGCCCGUCUUAUACACGGGAGAUACGCAGGUUCGAGUCCUGCCGCGCGCA